rnacentral:rRNA from 1 species
CCCUUAGAUGUUCUGGGCCGCACGCGCGCUACACUGAUGCAUUCAACGAGUCUAAAACCUGCUCUGAUAGGGGUGGGUAAUCUUUUGAAUGUGCAUCGUGAUUGGGAUAGAUGAUUGCAAUUUUUCAUCUUCAGCGAGGAAUGCCUAGUAAACGCAAGUCAUCAGCUUGCAUUGAUUACGUCCCUGCCCUUUGUACACACCGCCCGUCGCUCCUACCGAUUGAAUGAUCCGAUGAAUAUCAUGGAUUGAGGAUGCAAGCAGGUUCGCCUGUCUUCAUCUUCGAGAAGUGAAGUAAAUCUUAUCAUUUAGAGGAAGGAGAAGUCGUAACA